AGGAUGAACGCUGGCGGCGUGCUUAACACAUGCAAGUCGAACGAUGAAGGCUGGAGCUUGCUCUGGCUGGAUUAGUGGCGAACGGGUGAGUAACACGUGAGUAACCUGCCCCUGACUCUGGGAUAAGCGCUGGAAACGGCGUCAAUACCGGAUACGAGCUUCCACCGCAUGGUGAGGAGCUAGGAAAGAAUUUUCGGCUGGGGAUGGACUCGCGGCCUAUCAGCUUGUGGUGAGGUAUGGCUCACCAGGCGACGACGGGUAGCCGGCCUGAGAGGGUGACCGGCAGCGUAGGACUGAGCACGGCCCAGACGUACCUACGGGAGCAGCUAG
rnacentral:rRNA from 1 species